CACAAGUCUACUGCAUGGAGCCACUUUGCUAUUGCUGCGUUUAAGGAAUCUACACAGGGAAAUCACAUAAUCAAUAACAAACUUCACACAGAAGAUUCUGCUAACAGUAGAAUGGCUCCGAGUCUGGCACAGGCGUACCGGAGGCGCUGGUGGAUGGCAGUCACAGCGAUCAUAGAAAACCUGCUGUGCUCGGCUGUGUUGCUGGGGUGGGGCUCUCUCCUCAUUAUGCUCAAGAACGAGGGAUUUUACUCGCACAUCUGCACCGAGAAUGAAACCGUGCCCUCUAACCACUCAUUCGAGCACAGCGGGGAGUACGCAAGCUGUGUGGAGCAGGAGGAGAUCCUGAAUCUAGGUUUCACCAUCGGAUCGUUUCUCCUCAGCGCUGCAACUUUACCUCUGGGAAUUUUAAUGGACAAGUUUGGACCACGCCCACUCAGGCUUGUAGGCAGUUCAUGUUUUGCAGCAUCGUGUGCGAUGAUUGCCACAGCAACGUACAAACCUGAAGUUCUGUCCAUGCUCAUCUUUUUUGCUGUUUCAUUUAACGGUUUUGGAGGAAUUUGUCUGACCUUCACAUCACUCACACUGCCAAACAUGUUUGGAAACAUCCGCUCCACGAUUCUCUCACUGAUGAUUGGCUCCUAUGCCUCAUCUGCUGUCACGUUCCCGGGAGUCAAGCUGAUCUACGAUGCGGGCGUUUCAUUCAGGAUCAUCAUGUGGACCUGGUCUGGUCUCGCCUGUCUUGUCUUCAUCAACUGUUUUCUCAAUUGGCCCCUGGAGUCCUUCCCUGCUCCAGAGGACAUAAGAUACACUAAGAAGGUAAAGAUGAGUAGCAUUGUCACGAAGGACAUUAAAACCGGAGACAUGCACGUCACUCCAGUCACUACGUUUGAGGAAACUGUGGACUCCAGACAGGAAAAGGACCAUUCAGACUCGCAGAGCGCCCCCCAGAGUGCAGUUCCUCUGUGCCGCUCCGUCUGCUCUCCCAUCUUCCUUUGGAGCCUGAUCACAAUGCCCAUGACUCAGCUCAGGCUCAUCUUCUUCAUGGGCGCCAUGAACAAGAUGCUGGAGUUCCUUGUCACCCACGGAGACUCCUCAGAAAAUCUACAGAUAGAGGCAGAGACACAAGUUGGUUUCUACUCGUCUGUGUUCGGUUCACUGCAGCUGCUGUGCCUGGUCACGUGUCCAAUGAUUGGGUACAUCAUGGACUGGAGGAUGAAGGAGUGUGAGGAGGAGAACGCAACUCCAGAAACUCUGAAAGGCCAAUCAGGUCCUCCAAAACGUGACAGGAAGAUCCAGAAACUAACCAAUGCCCUGAGAGCAUUCAUCUUUACAAACCUCCUCCUCGUCACAUUUGGGGUCAUUUCACUCAUCGACAAUCUACCCAUUCAGAUGGUGUCAUUUGUUCUGCAUACUAUGGUCAGAGGAUUCAUCCACUCAUGCUGCGGAGGCCUCUAUGCUGCAGUAUAUCCAGCAAACCAUUUUGGGACUCUGACGGGCAUGCAGUCCAUGGUCAGUGCAGCGUUUGCUCUUCUGCAGCAGCCUCUGUUCAUCCUGAUGUUGGGCACACUCAAAGGAGAUCCGUACUGGAUAAACUUUGCCCUGCUCAUUUUUUCAUUGGCCGGGUUCCUGUUACCGGGAUAUCUCUUCUACCACAGACGAAAUCUCAUCAAGGCCAAAGCGCAGCACAAUUCAAAUCUUCUCAGCCAAUCAGAGCAAGACAACAAUUCUCUCUACCAAUCAGAAAACAGCAAAGUUCGAGCCAAUGGCCACACAGCUAACGGGGAUGUUAUUUAGGAUUGUAGUGUUUUUUUUUUAUUGUGCAAAUAUUGAGUUUAUGAAUGACAUAGAGGAGGUUGGUGAGAAGUUUGUCCUGACCAACUGGUUUUAAAACGAAAGACAAAUGCUGCCUUGGGACAAAUACGGGUCACCUUUUGUUUUGACAAAAUAGUAUAAUAUGAGUUAGGGAUGUAACAAUAUACAUAUUUCUCACGCUACUGCAAUAUUUUGUGAAGGCUUACAGUAUUAUAAGAUCUAGGACACAUAUUAUGCUAAAUGUAUUUUUGGAGCUUCUACCCAUGUUUCCUUAUCAAAAAACAUAGCUUGAGUUGUUUUGAGCGUUAUUCAUGCUGGUUUCAAUAAUCCUUUUGUAAAAAGUCCUCGGGUCCUGUGGUUUGAAUUUUCACAGGAUUGUUGCAUCACAAGUAGAAACCCUGUGCAGUUUUGAAGUCGACAAAUCAUUGACAGACUCGUUUAAAGCAAUUGCACCUUCAAAUUGGGUUCAUUAAAAAUGCAUGAUUAACAUUACCCCCCCCCCCCCCAAGCUGGAAAAUAAUGGUCAGUACAUGGUCAUUAUUUUCAGUGAGAUGCCAAAGCAAAGGUACUCAACAGCAUGUUUAAAGACCAACAGUAUAAAUAACAGUACAAGUAAUGCAUAAUAUGUGUUCUUUAUUAAGUGUUUUAAGGAGGACUAUGUAACGUUUCUGGGGAAUCCACCACCUGCAGGUCUACAUGGAGAUGUGUUGCUUUGUCUAGAAUGUUCUACAGUAUGGCAAUUAUUUAGCUUGCAUUGACUCAAUUACAGGAAGAUUAUUGUUGAAAAAUACAUUGAAUACUCAGACUUCUCAGUCUCUUCUCAGAUCUGACCUGUAACUUGGCGUCACUUAGUCUCAAAGCAGGUGGCAGACCCUCCACCAGAGAAGUUACAUACUGCACCUUUAAGUAAUUUCUUCAUGUUGGCUGCACUGAAACAGAGCGAGGGUUCAUGAUCUACAGAGUAGUAGCAGAAGUAUUAGUAGUAGUAUAAGUAACUAUCCUUGGG